CCUAUAUGUUUAACAUGGCAGAGAUACCAUACAGCAGAACCAUCAAGGAGAAGACUGAAUCCCAAUCCAGCAGUUAUGUGAUCUACAUCACUUGAGUGGAAGAGGAUCAGUGGAAGCACCCACUGAAUACCUGGGAGAGGGCCUAUGUUUCCUUCCAUGAAGGAGUUUAAGAUAACUUACAGCAAAAAUAUACUCAAGGUUUUUCCUGAACUCUGCAAACUGACUUGCUUUGGGGAAAUUUUGCUGCAUUUACUACGUGAGGAACUUAGCUGUGACAGCCUUCCUCUUUGCAUUACCUCUUUCCCUGUGAAUCUGUUCUGUAAACAAAAUUGCAUCCAGUGCCGGCAUGAUAUGCAGGGUACUUCUAAUAGCUUCUGUGGUGAGGUGAAUUGUGUUAUGUUCAAGUCCUAACCCCAAAUACUUGUUUAUGUGACAUUAUUUGGAUACAGGGCCUUUUCAGAAGAAAUUAAAUGAAGGCAUGGUGUUAUGUCUUUAUUGCCUUUCUACGAAAUCCAUAUGUUGAAGUCCUAACCCCUAGGACCUCAGAGUGUGACUUCAUUUAGAGAUAGGGCCUAUAAAGAGGUGAUGAAAUUAAAAUGAGGUUGUUAGACUGGACCAAAAUGCAAUCUGAUGGUAUCCUAAUGAGAAAAGGAGAUUUAGAGACACGCAGAGAUACUAGGGGCAUGCUCAUAGAGGAAAGGCCAUGAGCACACAGCAGGAAGAUGGUCAUCUCGAAACCUAGGGUUUCAGAAGAAAACAGCCUCUUCACAAACCCAGGUCUUUGGUCAUACUGGAUUAGAACCUAUCCCUACACCCAAUGACUGGUAUCCUCAUAUAGGAAAGGAGAGGAAUUUCAAGAGACACACUAGAGAAGAGAGUACCAUCUGAAGACAGAAGCAGAUACGUGCAUAUGUGCAUCAGCCAAGGAAUAAAAAAGAUCACUGGCAACCACCAGAAGGUAGCAGGAAGGUAGGAACAGAGGCCUCCUCAAAAUCUCCAGAAGAAACCAAGACUCUCAGCACCUUUAUUUUAGUUUUUCAGCCCCCAGAACUGUAAGAAAAUAAAUUUCUGUUGUGUUAAGCCACCCAGUUUGUGGUAAUUUGUCAUGGCCGCUGUAGAAAGCUAAUGCAGCCUCUAA